UCGAGGAUCUUCGGCAAUGGGCGCAAGCCUGACCGAGCGACGCCGCGUGUGCGAUGAAGGCCUUCGGGUUGUAAAGCACUGUCGAGGGGGAGGAACGCCCGCAAGGGUCUGACCUAUCCCUGGAGGAAGCACGGGCUAAGUUCGUGCCAGCAGCCGCGGUAAGACGAACCGUGCGAACGUUGUUCGGAUUCACUGGGCUUAAAGGGCGCGUAGGCGGACGGUCAAGUCGGGGGUGAAAUCUUUCAGCUUAACUGGAAAAGUGCCUCCGAUACUGAUCGUCUCGAGGGAGGUAGGGGCAUGUGGAACUUCCGGUGGAGCGGUGAAAUGCGUAGAUAUCGGAAGGAACGCCGGUGGCGAAAGCGACGUGCUGGACCUCUUCUGACGCUGAGGCGCGAAAGCUAGGGGAGCAAACGGGAUUAGAUACCCGCGUAGUCC
rnacentral:rRNA from 1 species